GAUGCAGAGUGGAAGAUGGAACUAGUAUGACAACACAGUUGAAGCUUGUCGCAUGGAAGCUGAGAGCGACGGGACGUACGUCAGAAAGCCAAAGUCUAAUGCUGCCAGCUCGUGCGUACUGCUGCACCUUCUCGGAACCCAGUGAUGUGGAAAACUACCAGUAGCAGCAAUACUGUGCAUCCAUCCAUUCAGCUUGUCUGCUAUGAAGAUGGACAGUCAGAUGUGACCAGAACAAGAGUGUCCUGAACCUUUUAAGUGAUGUGACACUUUUCAUCAACAGCAGCCUGUGUGAGAAGAGAAAUCCAUGGUCCUGUACAAAAUGCGUCACUGGAACCCAGUUGCUGUUUUUGGUCAAAUGGCAGACGAGUGUGGUGGUGUGAAGCAGAAUGAAGAAGCAGAGUGGGGUGAAAUGCAGGCCACGAAAGACACCAUGGAACAUCUAACCCCCACUGCCAUUUUACUGUCAAGCAAAAUUUUCAAGAUACAUCUCUUCAGUACCAACGAUCUUUAUUUGUGUGACUUGGCACUGGAAGAAUUCACAGAUAGUUUGAUAAAUCGUGGAUCUCCUGGUGCCAAAGCAUACAUAUAAAAACUGCUACAAUGCGGAGUGGAAAUGCAUCGC